AAUAUUGGGACAAUGGGCGCAAGCCUGAUCCAGCCAUGCCGCGUGAGUGAUGAAGGCCCUAGGGAUGUAAAGCUCUUUUUACGGUGAAUUAAUGACUCCUCCCGAGGAAAAAGCCCCGGCUAGCUUCAUGCCACCCCCCGCGAUAAUGUGCCAGCAGCCGCGGUAAUAAU
rnacentral:rRNA from 1 species